ensembl:lncRNA
CUGCAAUCUAGUGUGAGGAUGAGAUGGUAUUUUAAUAGGGCUGCAUUUAUCAACUGUAACAAGGGAGGGAAUGUGCUCCAACCCAGCGCGCCUUGUGGGCAAUGCAAGCAAGAGUCAGCGAGUGCGACCGCCGGAGGAGUGCGGCGAUGGGAGGAAGGCAGACGGACAGACAGCCUGCUGGGAACGAGGGCGGUCUGCAGGUGAUCUCGCAGGGGAGGGUGCGGCACCCACUGCCCAUCUUAGCGGGAUCCCAUCCCCUCGCGCCACCAUCCUCAAUGCUCCUGGAAACCUGAAUUUCUGACUUGACUUGCGAUGGGAUUUGCAUGUCUAGCCAGUGACACUACUAUUUUCAGAAGUAAUUACAUUUUUAAUUACGCUUUUUAAUAGCUGGUAGCUGCUGCUUUGCAGUUUUGUUCCUGUCCCUCUUGGACGCACCUUGGAGCAACACCAGGAGCCUCCACUUCCCUUCCAGUGAGAUGUGAGAGUGUGAACACACAGCGAGAAAGGGGAGAACGCGUGUGUCGAUGCGUGCAACUGAUCUCGCAGCCACAUAUCGCAGCUGGAGACUGAAACCAGAGCUGGGCAGUGCAUCUCAGAGCCACGGGAACAGCCCCUCAGCAUUUCCCAACACAAGUCUGGAGAAAGAAUGAGGAAGACAGAAGGGCCCAGAUCUGCAGCGUGCAGACAGAGCUGGUCCUAGGAAAAGCACACCAGCUUUCCUCUAAAUCAGGCGUUUGGGCUGAGCGCUUGUGAUUGUAGGAGAAAGGGAAAGUGAUCAUAUAAAAGCAGCCACAGGAGAGGUGAAAUAAACUCUUCAAAGAGGGCUCGUGCUGGUGCAGAUUCUGCAUUGAAAAUCCAGAGUCAGAGAAUUCUCUGUGACGUUGGGCAAGGCGCUGCAUCUCUUACCAGCUCAGACUGCCAGUUGGUCACCGAGACACACCAACCUCCGCACUGCUCCUGUCCGUGGAAACAGACAGAGGUGUGGAAGAAUGAGGGUAUAUCUUUUCUAGAGAUCCGAAAGAAGGAGAGCUCUAAAUACAACAGAAAGGAAUUAGAGGCAGCUCAUUUUGAUCCAGGCAGAUCCUUCAACCUUUUGAAAUUUAAAGGAUCCCUGACUUUCCUGAAGCAGUCUCAAGACUCCCAUGCACCCAUGUGCAGAGAAAAUAAAAGUCCCUCUGCGCCGCCUGCUCAUUAAUUUGCUUUUCUUUUCUCAUCAUUUGUUUGCUAGCUUGUCUGCUUGGGAAGAUGGCGUGGGUUUCUAUGAUUUUCCAGUCAUUGCCUAACCCACCUGUUGUAGGGCCCAGCAGCGCUUAAUGGCACUGAGCACCACGGAGCUGCAAUGCCCAUAAGCAUGUCUGUUCCCAGUCCCUUUGGAGUCACUCCCUCACAGACACCCUUUCAUCAGCAGAUUUCAGGUGUGCAGCAAACCCUGGGCGCAUGGAGCACAGCAUACUGGAGCACUGCUGGCUGCACACCCCAGCACGCACCGGUGCGUGUCCCUGUCCAGCCAGCUACAAACAGCAGCACAGAGUGGCUGUGAUUUGGCAUCUCAUUACCACAAUGUCUUCGGCAGUUCAGAUGCAAAUCACUUGGCAGUAACUUUCUCAUAUUGAAGAGAGGGAGAAAGAGGGAGAAGGAAACAGACAGCCAUCCAGGUACGCUGGCACACUUGGAGGUGGGCUGGGCCUCCCUAAUUGGAGCUGGCACAUCAGUAACUUAGUGGGCUCUAGAUGAGGGUGUACGGAAGAGCACAGAAAGCAGAAGCUGUGCUUCUGCUCAGCGAGCACAGAAAGGCUGCAUUUGGUGCGGUGUGCUGGGGAACGUAACCCUCCCCCUAAUUGCUUCAAAUGGGGACUUUCAAAAUGUGCAUGCCAUGGGUAAUUGUUUUAGGUCUCAGCUGCAACGAUGACAAACGCCGGCUUUGCUUAGCAUGCCGUUUGCAUACUGCUAAAAUACAUAUGGCUGAUCAGGUUUUAGGCCCUGUAAUCAUUCUUUCUAAAGUGCAAUGCUAUUUUCAGCUUUAUCUUCAUUUUAUUCUCAUUGAAAAUAAUUGCUGUGAUUUAGAGACUGUCUAAUGCCCUGUCGUUAUCUCCAGAUCUCUGGUAGUGUAAGCCUGCUGGCAUCCAGUAGUGAACCCAAAAGCUGUGCGGAUUUUCAAGUUGCAGUGUGUUAAUCUUGUUCAGCAUGUGGAACCGUCUCUCUAACUGAGAAGAUGAAUGCCGAUCAGCUUUAGGUGUACUUCUGUGUUUGCAUUUGAAGUUCAGUAAAUGUGAGGAAAAGAAAAAUAAAGAAAUAAAACAACAAAACAAACCAAAAACCAAAACAACAACAAAAAAUACCACUGCAGGAACAAAAAGAAACUGAGGUUUUCCAGCUUUCUAACCCGGCUUAGAAAGAAAUGAUGCAAUCCUUGGAAAGUUACUAUUGAUUUGAGCCUCAUGAAGUUGGUGGCCAAGCGUCAUCGGGUCAGAUGAGAUCAGGUCUUCCCCAGACACCCAUAUGACUGUAGACACAGCUCCAUCUCCUACUGCAACUUGGAAUUCUUUUAUGGGUAAAGAUGCAGAGUUUCACAGAGAUGCUAGGAAAAAUCUAGAAAAAUCUCGAUUUCUUGUGAGCUCAUCCCUUUGUACGUGACUGAGAAGUUCUGAGCCGACCUGCGAUCAGGCAGUGGGUCACUCAGCUGCACGGCAUGAAGACUGAGCAGGUUCAUCACAGCCCUCAGCCUGCCCUCGAGCCCAGCAGCCAGGACUGCUUUAUUCUCAGUGUAAUAAAACCAGAUUUGCACUGAAAGAGAGAGAUGAAGUUUCCCUUGGAGACCAGGCGGAGACCAGGUGGCGGAGUGGAUCCUUCUGUGGUUGUACUGAAGAGUUUCUUAUGAAAG